UCUCUGGGAUCCGAUAGCGUCCUUGGCUCUCUCGAGAUAGCAGAUGUGUUGGAUUUUCAAGGGUCGUUUCUGAAGUCUCUCGGUCAAGAAACGAACGUCGUCUGCAUCAUCGGACACAUAGUUGUAACUCGACUGAGUUUUUUCACAAUCAUUUCUCACCUGCUGGUCGGGUACCUUCAUACGAGGAAUCUACUUUGCAUAAAAAUAAAUUUGCUCAUUAUCCUGACGUAUACCACGACACCCGAUCAGAGCUACUUUCAAACGACUCCGUCCAACACUCUCUUCUCAAAGAAUUUUCUUCCUACCCGCAACAAAACAAAGUACACGAUUUUUUCACGCAAGCAUCUUAUGAUGACUCUGUUUCGUCCACUACUGAAUAUUACCCUCCAGUGUCGCCUAAGUACUUAUUACAACGUUCCUCCUCCCCCUCUAAUUGCAAUGCACGAUUGCGUGUCAAACGUAAGCACAAGAAGUUACGCAAAAGCCAGCUUCUAUUGUAUCUUGCCUCUGGAGAACUGGCAACACCAAUUUUCAUUCAUUGCGCGAUCCCGCUAUGUCUGACACAGACAGCGAAUUCACAGUUCCAGAGUCUUCGCCGAAUAAAUAUACGCCGGUCGUAAACACAACGGGGAAGAAUUGGCAAUAACAUUGCCUGAUAACACAGAGAUCGCGUCGAACUGAAUGGAGUGUCUUAACUGUGGUAAUAAUACGCAUGGCAACAGGCAAUAGUUCCCUCCUCAAAUCUCUAUCUCAAAACGUAGCAGCAAACAUUCUAACGGAGGUGUCUGUCCCUUCCAAAAAUGAUUCCACAUGCCCAGUGAAUGACGAGGGUUCGAAAGAAGAUUGUGGGAGCGAGGAUCGACAUCAUCUACGACAUCGACCUAACAGCUGGUGAGUCAGAACCUAAGCUUUUCAAUAUGGACGACUGUCAAACAUACAUAGCAGACGCCUUCUAUGCAAUCUCUUCCGUCUUUCGCCAACCAGUACAUCUUCGCUAACCGUCCCGUACACUAGACGAAAUGUAGUUUUUUGUGCCUUCUUCUCUGAAUGAUGCAACUAAAGCAAAUGCCGCAAACAGUAUGGUACAGUCUCCAAGAUACAAAGGGAUGCCAUCAGUUUUGUCACACAAGGCAAUAUUACAACUGUUUAUCCGUCUUUUGUAUCACAUAAUCGUCGCAUAGGUAAACAACACAAGAUGGAGAAGUCGGCGUAAACGGAAUUCCGAGGGCAAAACAUGGGAGUCGAUAGGUUAGAAAUAUUAUUUU